rnacentral:rRNA from 1 species
UUAAGCGACUAAGCGUACACGGUGGAUGCCCUGGCAGUCAGAGGCGAUGAAGGACGUGCUAAUCUGCGAUAAGCGUCGGUAAGGUGAUAUGAACCGUUAUAACCGGCGAUUUCCGAAUGGGGAAACCCAGUGUGAUUCGUCACACUAUCAUUAACUGAAUCCAUAGGUUAAUGAGGCGAACCGGGGGAACUGAAACAUCUAAGUACCCCGAGGAAUAGAAAUCAACCGAGAUUCCCCCAGUAGCGGCGAGCGAACGGGGAGCAGCCCAGAGCCUGAAUCAGUGUGUGUGUUAGUGGAAGCGUCUGGAAAGGCGCGCGAUACAGGGUGACAGCCCCGUACACAAAAAUGCACAUGCUGUGAGCUCGAUGAGUAGGGCGGGACACGUGGUAUCCUGUCUGAAUAUGGGGGGACCAUCCUCCAAGGCUAAAUACUCCUGACUGACCGAUAGUGAACCAGUACCGUGAGGGAAAGGCGAAAAGAACCCCGGCGAGGGGAGUGAAAAAGAACCUGAAACCGUGUACGUACAAGCAGUGGGAGCACGCUUAGGCGUGUGACUGCGUACCUUUUGUAUAAUGGGUCAGCGACUUAUAUUCUGUAGCAAGGUUAACCGAAUAGGGGAGCCGAAGGGAAACCGAGUCUUAACUGGGCGUUAAGUUGCAGGGUAUAGACCCGAAACCCGGUGAUCUAGCCAUGGGCAGGUUGAAGGUUGGGUAACACUAACUGGAGGACCGAACCGACUAAUGUUGAAAAAUUAGCGGAUGACUUGUGGCUGGGGGUGAAAGGCCAAUCAAACCGGGAGAUAGCUGGUUCUCCCCGAAAGCUAUUUAGGUAGCGCCUCGUGAAUUCAUCUCCGGGGGUAGAGCACUGUUUCGGCAAGGGGGUCAUCCCGACUUACCAACCCGAUGCAAACUGCGAAUACCGGAGAAUGUUAUCACGGGAGACACACGGCGGGUGCUAACGUCCGUCGUGAAGAGGGAAACAACCCAGACCGCCAGCUAAGGUCCCAAAGUCAUGGUUAAGUGGGAAACGAUGUGGGAAGGCCCAGACAGCCAGGAUGUUGGCUUAGAAGCAGCCAUCAUUUAAAGAAAGCGUAAUAGCUCACUGGUCGAGUCGGCCUGCGCGGAAGAUGUAACGGGGCUAAACCAUGCACCGAAGCUGCGGCAGCGACGCUGAUGCGUUGUUGGGUAGGGGAGCGUUCUGUAAGCCUGCGAAGGUGUGCUGUGAGGCAUGCUGGAGGUAUCAGAAGUGCGAAUGCUGACAUAAGUAACGAUAAAGCGGGUGAAAAGCCCGCUCGCCGGAAGACCAAGGGUUCCUGUCCAACGUUAAUCGGGGCAGGGUGAGUCGACCCCUAAGGCGAGGCCGAAAGGCGUAGUCGAUGGGAAACAGGUUAAUAUUCCUGUACUUGGUGUUACUGCGAAGGGGGGACGGAGAAGGCUAUGUUGGCCGGGCGACGGUUGUCCCGGUUUAAGCGUGUAGGCUGGUUUUCCAGGCAAAUCCGGAAAAUCAAGGCUGAGGCGUGAUGACGAGGCACUACGGUGCUGAAGCAACAAAUGCCCUGCUUCCAGGAAAAGCCUCUAAGCAUCAGGUAACAUCAAAUCGUACCCCAAACCGACACAGGUGGUCAGGUAGAGAAUACCAAGGCGCUUGAGAGAACUCGGGUGAAGGAACUAGGCAAAAUGGUGCCGUAACUUCGGGAGAAGGCACGCUGAUAUGUAGGUGAAGUCCCUCGCGGAUGGAGCUGAAAUCAGUCGAAGAUACCAGCUGGCUGCAACUGUUUAUUAAAAACACAGCACUGUGCAAACACGAAAGUGGACGUAUACGGUGUGACGCCUGCCCGGUGCCGGAAGGUUAAUUGAUGGGGUCAGCGCAAGCGAAGCUCUUGAUCGAAGCCCCGGUAAACGGCGGCCGUAACUAUAACGGUCCUAAGGUAGCGAAAUUCCUUGUCGGGUAAGUUCCGACCUGCACGAAUGGCGUAAUGAUGGCCAGGCUGUCUCCACCCGAGACUCAGUGAAAUUGAACUCGCUGUGAAGAUGCAGUGUACCCGCGGCAAGACGGAAAGACCCCGUGAACCUUUACUAUAGCUUGACACUGAACAUUGAGCCUUGAUGUGUAGGAUAGGUGGGAGGCUUUGAAGUGUGGACGCCAGUCUGCAUGGAGCCGACCUUGAAAUACCACCCUUUAAUGUUUGAUGUUCUAACGUGGACCCGUAAUCCGGGUUGCGGACAGUGUCUGGUGGGUAGUUUGACUGGGGCGGUCUCCUCCUAAAGAGUAACGGAGGAGCACGAAGGUUGGCUAAUCCUGGUCGGACAUCAGGAGGUUAGUGCAAUGGCAUAAGCCAGCUUGACUGCGAGCGUGACGGCGCGAGCAGGUGCGAAAGCAGGUCAUAGUGAUCCGGUGGUUCUGAAUGGAAGGGCCAUCGCUCAACGGAUAAAAGGUACUCCGGGGAUAACAGGCUGAUACCGCCCAAGAGUUCAUAUCGACGGCGGUGUUUGGCACCUCGAUGUCGGCUCAUCACAUCCUGGGGCUGAAGUAGGUCCCAAGGGUAUGGCUGUUCGCCAUUUAAAGUGGUACGCGAGCUGGGUUUAGAACGUCGUGAGACAGUUCGGUCCCUAUCUGCCGUGGGCGCUGGAGAAUGAGGGGGGCUGCUCCUAGUACGAGAGGACCGGAGUGGACGCAUCACUGGUGUUCGGGUUGUCAUGCCAAUGGCACUGCCCGGUAGCUAAAUGCGGAAGAGAUAAGUGCUGAAAGCAUCUAAGCACGAAACUUGCCCCGAGAUGAGUUCUCCCUGACUCCUUGAGAGUCCUGAAGGAACGUUGAAGACGACGACGUUGAUAGGCCGGGUGUGUAAGCGCAGCGAUGCGUUGAGCUAACCGGUACUAAUGAACCGUGAGGCUUAACCUU